rnacentral:rRNA from 1 species
GCGGGGCAAGAACACAGGGAUUGCCCUAGUAACGGCGAGUGAAGCGGCAACAGCUCAAAUUUGAAAUCUGGCCUCGGCCCGAGUUGUAAUUUGCAGAGGAUGCUUCUGGCGCGGUGCCUUCCGAGUUCCCUGGAACGGGACGCCACAGAGGGUGAGAGCCCCGUAUGGUCGGACACCAAGCCUGUGUGAAGCUCCUUCGACGAGUCGAGUAGUUUGGGAAUGCUGCUCUAAAUGGGAGGUAAAUCUCUUCUAAAGCUAAAUACCGGCCAGAGACCGAUAGCGCACAAGUAGAGUGAUCGAAAGAUGAAAAGCACCUUGAAAAGGGGGUUAAAUAGUACGUGAAAUUGUUGAAAGGGAAGCACUUAUGACCAGACUUGGGCCGGGCGGCUCAUCAGGGGUUCUCCCCUGUGCACUCCGCCCGGCACAGGCCAGCAUCGGUUUUCGCGGGGGGAUAAGACCGGCGGGAACGUAGCACCCUCCGGGGUGUGUUAUAGCCCGUCGGACGAUACCCUCGCGGGGACCGAGGUCCGCGCUCCGCAAGGAUGCUGGCGUAAUGGUCAUCAGUGACCCGUCUUGAAACACGGACCAAGGAGUCGUCCAUUAGAGCGAGCGUUUGGGUGCAAAACCCGCACGCGUAAUGAAAGUGAACGCAGGUGAGAGCUUCGGCGCAUCAUCGACCGAUCCUGAUGUUCUCGGAAGGAUUUGAGUAAGAGUUUUAACGGACGGACCCGAAAGACAGUGAACUAUGCUUGUAUAGGGUGAAGCCAGAGGAAACUCUGGUGGAGGCUCGCAGCGGUUCUGACGUGCAAAUCGAUCGUCUAAUAUGAGCAGGGGCGGGGGAGGAUAAAUGUUGGUUUCUUUUCGUCCGGUUAGGGAAAG